rnacentral:rRNA from 1 species
AUAUUAAUAAGCGGAGGAAAAGAAACUAACUAGGAUUGCCUCAGUAAUGGCGAAUGAAGCGGCAAUAGCUCAAAUUUAGAAUCUGGCGCAAGCCCGAGUUGUAAUUUCGAGACUGACGAUCGCGAAUUGCCCAGGCCCAAGUUCUCGGGACCGAGGCGUGAAACAGGGUGAAAGCCCCGUACACGACCUGGAGCCAAUUUGCAUUAUGACGUCAAGUCGAAGAGUCGAGUUGUUUGGGAAUGCAGCUCUAAUUGGGUGGUAAAUCUCAUCUAAAGCUAAAUAUCAUCAGGAGACCGAUAGCGAACAAGUACCGUGAGG